rnacentral:rRNA from 1 species
ACUCAAAUGAAUAGACGGGGGCCCGCACAAGCGGUGGAGCAUGUGGUUCAAUUCGAAGCAACGCGCAGAACCUUACCAACCUUUGACAUGUCCCGUAUGGGUACCAGAGAUGGAACCCUUCAGUUCGGCUGGCGGGAACACAGGUGCUGCAUGGCUGUCGUCAGCUCGUGUCGUGAGAUGUUGGGUUAAGUCCCGCAACGAGCGCAACCCUCGCCCUUAGUUGCCAUCAUUCAGUUGGGCACUCUAAGGGGACUGCCGGUGAUAAGCCGCGAGGAAGGUGGGGAUGACGUCAAGUCCUAAUGGCCCUUACAGGUUGGGCUACACACGUGCUACAAUGGCGGUGACAAUGGGAUGCAAUGGAGCAAUCCUGCGCAAAUCUCAAAAAGCCGUCUCAGUUCGGAUUGCUCUCUGCAACUCGAGAGCAUGAAGUUGGAAUCGCUAGUAAUCGCAGAUCAGCACGCUGCGGUGAAUACGUUCCCGGGCCUUGCACACACCGCCCGU